rnacentral:rRNA from 1 species
UACGAAGGGGGCUAGCGUUGCUCGGAAUCACUGGGCGUAAAGCGCACGUAGGCGGACUCUUAAGUCGGUGGUGAAAUCCUGGAGCUCAACUCCAGAACUGCCUUUGAUACUGAGGAUCUUGAGUACGGGAGAGGUGAGUGGAACUGCGAGUGUAGAGGUGAAAUUCGUAGAUAUUCGCAAGAACACCAGUGGCGAAGGCGAGUUUCUGGACAGUUACUGACGCUGAGGCACGAAGGCCAGGGGAGCAAACGGG